GCGGGCGUGGCGAAAUGGUAGACGCGACGGACUCAAAAUCCGUUUCUGGCGACAGAGUGUCGGUUCGAGCCCGACCGCCCGCACCA
rnacentral:tRNA from 1 species